rnacentral:rRNA from 1 species
GAUGAACGCUGGCGGCGUGCCUAAUACAUGCAAGUCGAGCGAACGGACGAGAAGCUUGCUUCUCUGAUGUUAGCGGCGGACGGGUGAGUAACACGUGGAUAACCUACCUAUAAGACUGGGAUAACUUCGGGAAACCGGAGCUAGUACCGGAUAAUAUUUUGAACCGCAUGGUUCAAAAGUGAAAGACGGUCUUGCUGUCACUUAUAGAUGGAUCCGCGCUGCAUUAGCUAGUUGGUAAGGUAACGGCUUACCAAGGCAACGAUGCAUAGCCGACCUGAGAGGGUGAUCGGCCACACUGGGACUGAGACACGGUCCAGACUCCUACGGGAGGCAGCAGUAGGGAAUCUUCCGCAAUGGGCGAAAGCCUGACGGAGCAACGCCGCGUGAGUGAUGAAGGUCUUCGGAUCGUAAAACUCUGUUAUUAGGAAAGAACAUAUGUGUAAGUAACUGUGCACAUCUUGACGGUACCUAAUCAGAAAGCCACGGCUAACUACGUG